rnacentral:rRNA from 1 species
UUACUAAAAACAUAGGUCUGUGCGAAGUCCUACAGACGACGUAUACGGACUGACGCCUGCCCGGUGCCGGAAGGUUAAAAGGAGGAGUCAGCGCAAGCGAAGCUCCGAUUUGAAGCCCCGGUAAACGGCGGCCGUAACUAUAACGGUCCUAAGGUAGCGAAAUUCCUUGUCGGGCAAGUUCCGACCUGCACGAAUGGCGUAACGAUCUCCACGCUGUCUCGGCCAGAGACUCGGUGAAAUUGAAGUCGCGGUGAAAAUGCCGUGUACCCGCAGAAAGACGGAAAGACCCUGUGCACCUUUACUAUAGCUUGACAUUGGGUUUUGAACCUGCAUGUGUAGGAUAGGUGGGAGGCUGUGAAAGCUGUACGCCAGUAUGGCCGGAGCCACCCGUGAAAUACCACCCUUGUUUGUUCAGGACCCUAACUCGCAGCUGUAAUCCAGCGCGAAGACAGUGUCUGGUGGGUAGUUUGACUGGGGCGGUCGCCUCCUAAAGAGUAACGGAGGCAUGCAAAGGUUCCCUCAGGCUGAUUGGAAACCAGCCGUUGAGUGCAAGCGCAUAAGGGAGCUUGACUGCAAGAGAGACAUCUCGAACAGAUACGAAAGUAGGUGCUAGUGAUCCGGUGGUCCCGAAUGGAAGGGCCAUCGCUCAUUGGAUAAAAGGUACGCCGGGGAUAACAGGCUGAUCGCAUCCAAGAGUUCACAUCGACGAUGCGGUUUGGCACCUCGAUGUCGGCUCAUCACAUCCUGGGGCUGAAGCAGGUCCCAAGGGUACGGCUGUUCGCCGUUUAAAGUGGUACGCGAGCUGGGUUUAAAACGUCGUGAGACAGUUUGGUCCCUAUCUUCUGUGGGCGUAGGAGAAUUGAGAGGGUUUGUCCCUAGUACGAGAGGACCGGGAUGAACGCACCACUGGUGGAUCAGUUGUCGCGCCAGCGGCAUAGCUGAGUAGCUAUGUGCGGAAUGGAUAACCGCUGAAAGCAUCUAAGCGGGAAGCCAGCCUCGAGAUAAGUUCUCCCUGUCGCAAGACACUAAAGGGCCGAUGAAGACUACAUCGUUGAUAGGCCGGAGGUGGAAGCGCUGCGAAGCGUGGAGCUGACCGGUACUAAUAGCCCGUGCGCCUUAUAUUU